rnacentral:rRNA from 1 species
AUUGAUUUUUUUUUCUGGCUCAGAUUGAACGCUGGCGGCAGGCCUAACACAUGCAAGUCGGACGGUAGCACAGAGGAGCUUGCUCCUUGGGUGACGAGUGGCGGACGGGUGAGUAAUGUCUGGGGAUCUGCCCGAUAGAGGGGGAUAACCACUGGAAACGGUGGCUAAUACCGCAUAACGUCGCAAGACCAAAGAGGGGGACCUUCGGGCCUCUCACUAUCGGAUGAACCCAGAUGGGAUUAGCUAGUAGGCGGGGUAAUGGCCCACCUAGGCGACGAUCCCUAGCUGGUCUGAGAGGAUGACCAGCCACACUGGAACUGAGACACGGUCCAGACUCCUACGGGAGGCAGCAGUGGGGAAUAUUGCACAAUGGGCGCAAGCCUGAUGCAGCCAUGCCGCGUGUAUGAAGAAGGCCUUCGGGUUGUAAAGUACUUUCAGCGGGGAGGAAGGCGAUGUGGUUAAUAACCGCAUCGAUUGACGUUACCCGCAGAAGAAGCACCGGCUAACUCCGUGCCAGCAGCCGCGGUAAUACGGAGGGUGCAAGCGUUAAUCGGAAUUACUGGGCGUAAAGCGCACGCAGGCGGUCUGUUAAGUCAGAUGUGAAAUCCCCGGGCUUAACCUGGGAACUGCAUUUGAAACUGGCAGGCUUGAGUCUUGUAGAGGGGGGUAGAAUUCCAGGUGUAGCGGUGAAAUGCGUAGAGAUCUGGAGGAAUACCGGUGGCGAAGGCGGCCCCCUGGACAAAGACUGACGCUCAGUG